UCAGCUUUCCUUCAACUUGUUCCAAAAUGAGCUGGAAGACUAUUGUUUUCUUCCCCAACGAACAAAAGUCCAAAACAGAGAGUCUCUGUAUCUUCUCUUCCCUGCCUAAGCUUCAAUCUUGCAACCGUUCCAGCCAAUCCAUCCAUCCAUCCAUCCAUCCAUUCAUCAUGGUUUUAGGCAUAGCAGGAGCCAUUCUUGCACCGAUAUUGCCUCAGUUUGUUCUGAACAAAUUGCUUGACUCUUUAUUUGAGCAUCUUUCUAGAGACCAGCCAUCAUCCUCCAGUCAUGUUGAUAAGCUUCAACAACUGGUUAAUGAGAGGAAAGCCUUCGCAGAGGCCAAUCUGAAGCUCGAGAUUAUACAAAGUGAAGUCAGAAGGUUGCAUAAACGAGAUAAACAAAAUAUGAGGCUGAUCCAUAUCAACAACAAACUCAGAGAUGUGAGUAACAUGAUUAAAGACUUGAAAGAUGAUUUGGAGUACAUGGAGCUGCAGCGAAAGGUGGAGGAGAUCAACCUGCAGGAUGAAGCUGCUGACAACAACCCAUCUACAACACCACAACUUGGGUCUUGGAUUCCUUGGACAACCGGACAAUCAAGUGACAAAAGACGCCGGCUUUCUUCAUCCGAGUCAACAGAAUUUUAUAUUGCAGAUGAUAUAGUGAAUAAAAUGAGGACUAUUACAGAACAAAUUAAUCGCAUUGAUUCAGACAUGAGGUUUGAAAUUAUGGUGGAUGCUUCGAAGGGCGGUUGUGAUUCAUCUGGGCAACAUCAAGCAGCAGAAAACAAACGUGUUACCACAUCAUCACCAUCUGAAAGCAAGAUAUAUGGCCGGGAUCAUGAAAAACAACAGUUGAUCAAGUUGCUUAAAGAGCCAAAAGAAAGUGGUAAUGUUUCUGUUGUACCAAUAGUUGGGAUGGGGGGUAUUGGCAAAACCACUCUAGCUCAGUUUGUCUUCAACAACACAGAAAUAGCAUAUCAUUUUGAGAGGAAAGCAUGGAUAUGUGUAUCAGAUUACUUCAAUAGGCUCAGAAUCACCAAAGAAAUAUUAGAUUCAUUAUGCAUUGGCGAAGCUAGCAGCUCAACCAUCACCACCAGCUGUGAUGUUCUUGAGAGGGAAAUCAAAAGGCAGGUAACAGGGAAGAAAUUUUUAUUGGUGCUAGAUGAUGUUUGGUCUGAUGAAUGGCGAGAGCUCCUCAACUUUCUCCGAUGUGCGCAAGCAGAGGCUAUUAAACUCAUUGUCACUUGCAGAGAUCCUGAAGUAUUAGGAGUUCUGGCUGAUGGGCAGAAUCAAAUUACUUUGAAAGGGUUAUCUGAUAAAGACAACUGGUCACUUUUCGUGAAAUAUGCCUUUGCCGAUAAGAAUCCUGACAAUUCUCCUGAACUACAUGCUAUAGGAAAGCAGAUAGUGGGAAAGCUCAAAGGGUCACCAUUGGCAGCAAAGACAGUUGGAAGACUUUUAGGAAGCUGUUUAACUGAAGAACAUUGGAAGGACAUAUUGGAAAGUGAUUUAUGGAAAUUAGAAACUGAUGCACAUGGUGUUAUGUCUGCGCUUGCCUUGAGUUACUAUCAUCUACCCCAUCCUCUUCAGUUAUGCUUUACCUUUUGUUCGGUGUUUCCUAAAGAUUUUGUGUAUGAUAUGUUCAAUGUUAUUGACAUGUGGAUAGCCCAUGGUUAUAUACCAGAAAUUAAAGGCAGUUCAAAGACAUUGGAAGAUAUAGGAGAAGAGUAUUGGCACGAACUAGAAGCAAGGUGUUUCUUUGAAAAAGUUAUUGAAUUUGAAAACAGUUUUGAAUUUGUAAAAGUUAUUGAAGGCUUCAAAAUGCAUGACUUAUUGCAUGAUUUAGCUCAAUCAGUUUCUCAUGGAGAAACUUAUAUUUAUGAGGGUCGAAAAGAUGAAGAAAUCCCAAAAGAUGUUUGCCAUUUAUGUGUGCAUAGGUUUUCUGAUGUUAAGUUCGUGUGCAAAACUGAUAACUUGCGCACACUCAUAUUAUAUGGAGCCGGUGACAUACAUGACAUCCUCAAACACGAAGCAUUUAAAAGGAUUCGAGUGUUGGUCAUCUCUCGUACUAAUGUGCAAAAACUCUCAGAUAAUAUUGCUCAUCUUAAACACUUGCAAUAUCUGGAUUUGGUGGGAACUAGCAUCGAAUCAAUACCAGAAUCACUAUGCACGCUUUAUUUGUUGAGAGUAUUGAAAUUAAUGUGUCCACCACCUAGAUUGCCCAAUCGAUUUCAUAAUCUCAUAAACCUUCGAAGAUUUUGCAUGCCUGACUUCAGUUUGAUAAGGUCCCUUCAAACAUCUUAUUAUGUAAUAUAUCAAGUAAAUAGAGAAGGAGGUUACCAGAUUGCACAAUUGAGGAAUAUGAAUGAACUGAGAGGUGAACUUUUGAUUGGAGGCUUGGAGAACAUUGGCAAAACAGAAGAAAUGAUGAAGGCCAAAUAUUUGAAGGAAAAACGUCACAUCAAGCAGUUACAAUUAAGAUGGGGAGAUGCAUUUGAUGAUUGCAAGCAAGAUUUCCAAGAACAAACACUUGAAGCUCUUCAACCUCAUCCUAACUUAAAAUAUUUGAGAAUUGCUGGAUAUAUGGGUUCCAAAUCGCCAACCUGGCUUAUGACACCUGAACUUCAGAGACUAGAAAAAAUAGAGUUAGAUGGAUGCAGAAAAUGGGCACGUCUACCUGCAGCACUUGGGUUGUUACCCUCCCUUAAAUCACUGGAGUUAUCAAGCAUUGAGAACAUGACAAUUGAGGUUGAUUAUUCCGUGAUUGAGAUGUAUCCAUCCCUGACGUCCCUUGAUGCAUGGCAUGCAACACUAUCUUUUGAGGACAUGUCGUCAUCAUCAUCAUCAGUGACGGGACAAAAUCACACCCACUUUCCCAAGUUUACCAGCCUCACAAUUAAGGAGAGUGAAGUGAAUGGAUUACAUCUGCCCUUGUUUUCAGCACUGAAGUACCUAAAAAUUAAAAAUUGUCGUGUGGUGUUUGAUCAAUGUCUCAAUGGCGUCUCUUCUCUGUCUGAUUUGGUCUUGCAUGGGGCAAAGAUUCAAACCUUUCCUGCAAAAAUCAUGGCCACUCUGCACGCACUCGUGAAUUUAAAAAUUUUUGCUUGUAAUGAGCUGAUAUCAUUGGAGGGUUUACAAGCCCUCCCUUCUCUGAAACAAUUGUCUAUUUCUAACUGCCGCAAAUUCAAAUACUGGGGUACUGAAGAGGAGAUAAUAGAGGAUGGACUCCCGCUGCCAAAACUACAGCUUAUGGAAAUAAUAUAUUGCAAUGUUCUGGAAACUCUGCCUGCUUGGUUGCCUCGUCUUCCUUUAUUGAACCAAUUGAUCAUUAAUAAUUGUCCCAAAUUCAGAUCCUGGGGUACGGAGGAGGAGAUAACACAGGAUGGACUCUGUCUGCCAAACCUACAGCGUAUGGAAAUAUAUUCUUGCUUCGAUCUGGAAACUCUGCCUGCUUGGUUGCCUCGUCUUCCCUUGUUAGAGAAAUUGAUCAUUAGCUUUUGUCCCAAAUUCAGAUCAUGGGAUACGAAGGAGGAGAUAACAGAGGAUGCACUCUGUCUGCCAAACCUACAGCGUAUGGAAAUAUAUUCUUGCAAAGAUUUGGAAACUCUGCCUGCUUGGUUGCCUCGUCUUCCCUUGUUGGAGAAAUUGAUCAUUAGCUUCUGUCCCAAAUUUAGAUCUUGGGGUACGGAGGAGGAAGAGAUAACAGAGGACAGACUCCUGCUGCCAAACCUACAACGUAUGGAAAUAAGGGUGUGCGGUGAUUUGGAAACUCUACCUGCUUGGUUGCCUCAUCUUCCUUUAUUGAACGAGUUGACAAUUAGUAUGUGUCCCAAAUUCAAAUCAUGGGGUAUGGAGGAGGAAGAGAUAAUAGAAGACGGACUCCCGCUGCCAAACCUACAGAAGAUGGAAAUAUAUUCUUGCGAAGAUCUGGAAACUUUGCCUGCUUGGUUGCCUCGUCUUCCUUUAUUAAAGGAAUUGAUCAUUAUGGAUUGUCCCAAAUUCAGAUCCUGGGGUAUGGAGGAGGAGGAGAUAACAGAGGACAGACUCCCGCUGCCAAACCUACAACAUAUGGAUAUAAGUUGGUGUGAAGAUCUGGAAACUCUGCCUGCUUGGUUGCCUCGUCUUCCUUUAUUGAACGAGUUGACAAUUAGAUUGUGUCCCAAAUUCAGAUCCUGGGGUAUGGAGGAGAAGAAGAUAACAGAGGAUGGACUCCUACUACCAAACCUACAGAAGAUGGAAAUAUAUUCUUGUGAAGAUAUGAAAAUUCUGCCUGCUUGGUUGCCUCGUCUUCUUUUAUUAAAGGAAUUGAUCAUUAUAGACUGUCCCAAAUUCAGAUCUUGGGGUAUGGAGGAGGAGGAGAUAAUAGAGGACGGACUCCCGCUGCCAAACCUACAAUAUAUGGAAAUAGAUUCUUGCCAAGAUCUGGAAACUCUUCCUGCUUGGUUGCCUCGUCUUCCUUUAUUGAACGAGUUGACAAUUAGAUUGUGUCACAAAUUCAGAUCCUGGUGUACAGAGGCGGAGGAGGUGAUAACAGAGUACGGAUUCCCGCUGCCAAACCUACAGAAGAUGGAAAUAGAUUGUUGCGAAGAUCUGGAAACUCUGCCUGCUUGGUUGCCUCGUCUUCCUUUAUUGAACCAAUUGAUCAUUAAAGCAUGUCCAAAGAUCCAAUCACUGCCGCAGGGCAACCUUCCAUCCUCACUUAAAAAGUUGUACUUGAUACAAUGUGAACGAAGCUUGACUGAACGGUGUCGGCAAGGGGGAUCUCUUGAAUGGCAAAUGAUUCAGCACAUCCCUCAUAGACUGUAUAUCUGAUGGGUAUGAAUCCAAUGCUGCCUUCACUUGUCACUCUGUUUUUCUCAUUUGAAUUGUUUAUAAUAUUGCCUCCAAUUUCACUUGACCAAUCUAAAGUUAUGUCAGGGAAAAAAUCCACCUUUUUUUUUCUAUCAACAUCUACUCAACCGUUCUAUGUUGGAAGCUCUUCAGAUUAAUUGUGAUUGCUGAUGGCAGAAUAUGAAAAAACCUCUCACAAAUUUGUCUAUAACAUUGAUACUAUACAAACUUCAUUUGAGUAUAAUUUUGUCUCUGGGAGAAAAGGCAAGCGGAAUUCAAUUUUCUCCAGCAAAUUCUCAAUGCUUGGCACUCUCUUUGCUUGGAUUUGAAUUAAUAGCAUAAAUAUUCUGUCACUCUUGAGAGAUUCGGGUCAAUUGUUAUUCCACCGCAACUCAGCUGGAGGUUUAAGAUUUCAUUACUCAAAUCUGAGAAGAAAUAUGGAUUAACUUUUUCCUGUCAGUCUUGCAAUCAGUGUUGAUUGGCUCUUUUGCAAUUUUAUUUCUGUUGCAAAUCAAACUAAAUGCGGUGUUGAAUAAACUUUGAUUUCAUUGAACUCGACUGGGUUGUUCAGAACAUGAAAAUGUUUAGGAAUAAGUCAAGCAAACUUGGAAAAUUACUUCAUGGUCUUUAAGGAUGCAUUACCUCUUUCUCCAUGUUUUCCUAGUUUAAGCAGUUGGCUAUUUUCAUGCUAGUAUGCAUAUAUUUUGCUAUGUAACUGGCCUAUCUAUGUGCUACAAAUCAAUGAAUAAUGUAUGAGAUUUAUA